rnacentral:rRNA from 1 species
UACAGAGGGUGCAAGCGUUGUUCGGAAUUAUUGGGCGUAAAGCGCGUGUAGGCGGCUCUGCAAGUCGGGUGUGAAAUCCCAUGGCUCAACCAUGGAAGUGCACUCGAAACUGCAGGGCUAGAGUCCUGGAGAGGAAGGUGGAAUGCUUGGUGUAGAGGUGAAAUUCGUAGAUAUCAAGCGGAACACCGGUGGCGAAGGCGGCCUUCUGGACAGUGACUGACGCUGAGACGCGAAAGCGUGGGGAGCAAACAGG